rnacentral:SRP_RNA from 1 species
GCCGGGUGCGGUGGCGCGUGCCUGUAGCCCCAGCUACUCAGGAGACUGAGGUGGGAGGAUCACUUGAGCCCAGGAGUUCUGGGCUGUAGUGCGCUAUGCUGAUCUGGUGUCCGCACUAAGUUCAGCAUCAAUGUGGUGAACUCCCGGGAUCGGGGGACCACCCGGUUGCCUAAGGAGGGGUGAACCGGCCCCGGUUGGAAACAGAGCAGGUCAAAACUCCCGUGCUGAUCAGUAGUGGGAUCGCACCUGUGAAUAGCCAUCGCACUCCAGCCUGGGCAACAUAGCGAGACCCUGUCUCU